rnacentral:ncRNA from 1 species
AUAAAAGCUAAGAAGGGAAGAGUAAGCGGGAAAGUUAUCAACAGAGAGCCGUGUAGCUGAAAUGCGGUAUAACUAACCUACUGAAGAUGGUCUUGGAGCUAUAUAGCUGAAAUUAAGUAGACUAUAUCGGUUAACAGAGUCGUUAUUUCUGUAAAAGAGAUUACUAACUAAUGUAGUGAUAAAGUUAGGGUGGUACCGCGGAAGGUUAAGAAUAAUACCUCUCGUCCCUUAG